rnacentral:rRNA from 1 species
AUUGAACGCUGGCGGCAUGCUUUACACAUGCAAGUCAACUUGAAUUUGGGUUUUUUACCUUAGAUUUUGGUGGCGGACGGGUGAGUAACGCGUAAAGAACUUGCCUCACAGCUAGCGACAACAUUUGGAAACGAAUGCUAAUACCUGAUAUUAUGAUUAUAAGGCAUCUUAGACUUAUGAAAGCUAUAUGCGCUGUGGGAGAGCUUUGCGUCCCAUUAGCUAGUUGGAGAGGUAACGGCUCACCAAGGCGAUGAUGGGUAGCCGGCCUGAGAGGGUGAACGGCCACAAGGGGACUGGGACACGGCCCGUACUCAUACGGGAGGCAGCAGUGGGGAAUAUUGGACAAUGGACCAAGAGUCUGAUCCAGCAAUUCUGUGUGCACGAUGACGUUUUUCGGAAUGUAAAGUGCUUUCAGUUGGGAAGAAAAAAAUGACGGUACCAACAGAAGAAGUGACGGCUAAAUACGUG